rnacentral:rRNA from 1 species
UUCUCAGUUGCCAGCACAUAAUGGUGGGCACUCUGUGGAGACUGCCCGGGUUAACCGGGAGGGAAGGUGGGGAUGACGUCAAGUCAUCAUGGCCCUUACGCCUAGGGCUACACACGUACUACAAUGGUGGGUCAAAGGGCAGCGAAACCGCGAGGUCGAGCGAAUCUCAAAAAACCCAUCAUAGUCCGGAUUGCAGUCUGCAACUCGACUGCAUGAAGUUGGAAUCGCUAGUAAUCCCGGAUCAGCAUGCCGGGGUGAAUACGUUCCCGGGCCUU